GCUGAUGCUACACACUAUUACUGGGUGAACUGCAUCUAGUUGAAGGCCAGGAUGGACACCCUACAGCAUCCCCAGUGGCACUAAACAAAACUGAGCCAAGUCUGAGAUCUCCAGACCACAGUGAUGUCAAACUACAGUUACAGAAGUCUAUCCAGAUACACUUACAGGAUCUGUCCUGACAGCACACUGCCAACAAAACAAGACAGCUUGAUUUCCAAACACCCCGUCUUUCACACUGAGCAGCAACUAAGGCCAGAUGUUCCCAUCUGCACCACACUGGAUAAAACCUAGCAGGCUGGAGUCAGAAGGGACCUUUUGGGGGUGGGGAGUGGUGUUCACAAAAUACAGCAGUCUGGGUACUGCUGUCAAGAGCACUUCUUUUGCCCGCAGGACCCUUCAAACAACUGAAAAUAUUCAGGCUGAAGAUGUGUAUUGUCAUCUCCACUGCAAGAGAUGGAGGACAAGAAGCACAGCUGAGGGCAGCUAUGAGGAUCUACAUCACCUGAGGGUGCUUUCCCAUGAAAGAGGGCUCUCCUAGGAGCCAGUUAAGCAAUUUUUUUCUAUGACAACAGGGUCCAGAGCAGAAAACAUGCUGAAUCAAUGAAUUCGGUCAUGAGAAAGAAAAAAAAUAAAGAUUAAAAAAAAACACACCACAUUUAAAAUAAAUGGUAUCCCUGUGGCAGCACAUUGUCACUGCUGUCACUCAGCUGCAUGCUAAAGUCAGGGCAGAGCAGCACGGUAGGGUACCUGAUGGGAUCGUGACUACUCAUCUGGUACUUAUUUUUUUGUUUGUGUGUGGAUAAACCAGAACCUGUAAAC